GAUGAACGCUGGCGGCGUGCCUAAUACAUGCAAGUCGAGCGAACGGACGAGAAGCUUGCUUCUCUGAUGUUAGCGGCGGACGGGUGAGUAACACGUGGAUAACCUACCUAUAAGACUGGGAUAACUUCGGGAAACCGGAGCUAAUACCGGAUAAUAUUUUAAGCCGCAUGGUUCAAAAGUGAAAGACGGUCUUGCUGUCACUUAUAGAUGGAUCCGCGCUGCAUUAGCUAGUUGGUAAGGUAACGGCUUACCAAGGCAACGAUGCAUAGCCGACCUGAGAGGGUGAUCGGCCACACUGGAACUGAGACACGGUCCAGACUCCUACGGGAGGCAGCAGUAGGGAAUCUUCCGCAAUGGGCGAAAGCCUGACGGAGCAACGCCGCGUGAGUGAUGAAGGUCUUCGGAUCGUAAAACUCUGUUAUUAGGGAAGAACAUAUGUGUAAGUAACUGUGCACAUCUUGACGGUACCUAAUCAGAAAGCCACGGCUAACUACGUGCCAGCAGCCGCGGUAAUACGUAGGUGGCAAGCGUUAUCCGGAAUUAUUGGGCGUAAAGCGCGCGUAGGCGGUUUUUUAAGUCUGAUGUGAAAGCCCACGGCUCAACCGUGGAGGGUCAUUGGAAACUGGAAAACUUGAGUGCAGAAGAGGAAAGUGGAAUUCCAUGUGUAGCGGUGAAAUGCGCAGAGAUAUGGAGGAACACCAGUGGCGAAGGCGACUUUCUGGUCUGUAACUGACGCUGAUGUGCGAAAGCGUGGGGAUCAAACAGGAUUAGAUACCCUGGUAGUCCACGCCGUAAACGAUGAGUGCUAAGUGUUAGGGGGUUUCCGCCCUUUAGUGCUGCAGCUAACGCAUUAAGCACUCCGCCUGGGGAGUACGACCGCAAGGUUGAAACUCAAAGGAAUUGACGGGGACCCGCACAAGCGGUGGAGCAUGUGGUUUAAUUCGAAGCAACGCGAAGAACCUUACCAAAUCUUGACAUCCUUUGACAACUCUAGAGAUAGAGCCUUCCCCUUCGGGGGACAAAGUGACAGGUGGUGCAUGGUUGUCGUCAGCUCGUGUCGUGAGAUGUUGGGUUAAGUCCCGCAACGAGCGCAACCCUUAAGCUUAGUUGCCAUCAUUAAGUUGGGCACUCUAAGUUGACUGCCGGUGACAAACCGGAGGAAGGUGGGGAUGACGUCAAAUCAUCAUGCCCCUUAUGAUUUGGGCUACACACGUGCUACAAUGGACAAUACAAAGGGCAGCGAAACCGCGAGGUCAAGCAAAUCCCAUAAAGUUGUUCUCAGUUCGGAUUGUAGUCUGCAACUCGACUACAUGAAGCUGGAAUCGCUAGUAAUCGUAGAUCAGCAUGCUACGGUGAAUACGUUCCCGGGUCU
rnacentral:rRNA from 1 species